UGAGCUUUGAAGAAUUGCCAAGUUAUUUGAAGCAUUGUUUCCUCUACUUGGCCCAUUUUCCAGAAGAUUAUGAGAUAAAGGUAGAGAAUUUGUCAUAUUACUGGGCUGCAGAAGAAAUAUUCCAACCUAGGCAUUACGAUGGAGAAAUCAUUCGAGAUGUUGGAGAUGUCUACAUAGAGGAGCUGGUGAGGAGGAAUAUGGUCAUUUCCGAAAGAGAUGUAAAGACUUCGAGAUUUGAAACUUGUCAUUUGCAUGACAUGAUGAGAGAAGUUUGUUUGUUAAAAGCUAAAGAAGAAAACUUCCUACAAAUUACCAGUAACCCCCCUUCAACUGCAAAUUUUCAGUCUACUGUCACAUCUCGCAGGCUUGUCUACCAAUAUCCUACUACUUUACAUGUUGAGAAAGAUAUAAACAAUCCAAAACUUCGAUCUCUCGUGGUUGUUACCUUGGGAAGUUGGAACAUGGCAGGUUCAAGCUUUACAAGGUUAGAACUUCUAAGGGUGUUAGAUCUCGUUCAAGCCAAGUUGAAAGGAGGGAAGUUAGCUUCUUGCAUUGGAAAGCUCAUCCACUUAAGAUACUUGAGCUUAGAGUAUGCAGAGGUAACUCAUAUACCUUACUCACUAGGAAAUCUGAAGUUGUUGAUCUAUCUGAAUUUACAUAUCUCAUUAUCAUCAAGAUCCAACUUUGUGCCCAAUGUCUUGAUGGGGAUGCAAGAACUGAGAUACCUUGCGUUACCAAGCCUUAUCGAGAGGAAGACAAAACUAGAAUUGAGUAAUCUAGUAAAAUUGGAGACUUUAGAGAAUUUCUCAACAAAGAAUAGCAGCUUGGAGGAUCUUCGUGGUAUGGUCAGGCUGAGAACGCUCACCAUCGAAUUAAUUGAGGAGACGAGUUUAGAAACUCUAGCUGCAUCUAUAGGUGGAUUGAAAUACCUGGAAAAACUUGAAAUAGAUGAUCUCGGUUCUAAGAUGAGGACGAAGGAAGCGGGGAUCGUAUUUGAUUUCGUUCAUCUCAAAAGGCUAAGGUUGGAACUGUAUAUGCCUAGGCUUUCUAAAGAACAACACUUCCCUUCUCACCUUACAACCUUAUAUCUACAACAUUGUCGGUUGGAAGAGGAUCCCAUGCCGAUUCUAGAGAAGUUGCUACAGUUGAAAGAGCUUGAAUUAGGGCAUAAAUCUUUCAGUGGAAAGAAAAUGGUUUGCUCGAGCUGUGGGUUUCCUCAAUUGCAGAAGCUUUCAAUAAGCGGACUAAAGGAAUGGGAAGAUUGGAAAGUAGAAGAAAGCUCCAUGCCACUUCUUCUUACUCUCAAUAUCUUUGAUUGUCGAAAAUUAAAGCAGCUUCCUGAUGAACACCUCCCUUCUCACCUUACAGCCAUAUCUCUAAAAAAGUGUGGGUUGGAGGAUCCAAUCCCAACUCUAGAGAGAUUGGUUCACUUGAAAGAGCUAUCAUUAUCUGAACUAUGUGGGAGGAUAAUGGUUUGCACGGGCGGUGGGUUUCCUCAAUUGCACAAGCUAGACUUAUCUGAACUAGAUGGGUUGGAAGAGUGGAUAGUUGAGGAUGGCUCCAUGCCACGGCUUCAUACUCUAGAAAUUCGUAGGUGUCUAAAGUUAAAGAAGCUACCUAAUGGGUUUCCACAAUUGCAGAAUCUUCACUUAACUGAGGUAGAGGAAUGGGAAGAGGGGAUGAUAGUAAAACAAGGCUCCAUGCCCCUUCUUCAUACUCUCUAUAUCUGGCAUUGUCCAAAGCUUCCUGGUGAACAACACUUCCCUUCUCACCUUACAACCGUAUUUCUACUCGGUAUGUAUGUGGAGGAGGAUCCAAUGCGGAUUCUAGAGAAGCUGCUUCACUUGAAAAAUGUUUCUUUGUUUCAAUCUUUCAGUGGGAAGAGAAUGGUUUGCUCGGGCGGUGGGUUUCCUCAAUUGCAGAAGCUUUCAAUACGGGAAAUAGAGUGGGAAGAGUGGAUAGUAGAACAAGGCUCCAUGCCCCUUCUUCAUACUCUCUAUAUCGGGGUUUGUCCAAACUUAAAGGAGCUUCCUGAUGGGCUGCGAUUUAUCUAUUCAUUAAAAAAUUUGAUAGUAUCAAAAAGAUGGAAGAAGAGAUUGUCGGAAGGAGGAGAAGAUUAUUACAAAGUCCAACACAUUCCUUCUGUUGAAUUCGACGACUAGGAAUGCUCUCAGCAAUCACAGAGUAUGUAUAUAUAUGUACACAUAAAGAGCUGCAUUGAUGGUGUUCGAUGAAUUGUCUAACUGUGACUAUGCUUGACGAGAUAUGUAACAGCAGAGCCAGGAGUCUCAUAAGCCUCUGUUUCCACCCAAAAUCAGGUAAUCUCAUGAUCAUUGCCUUUAAAAUUUUCAAAGAAAAGCUUAUCAAACAAGAGACCUGAAUAAUCUUGUUCUUUCUGCUUAGAAUCACCAAACAAGAACAUUUUGCAGGUCGGAAGAUAGUUGCAGGUAGGAAGCUAAUCAAACAAGACACCUUAUUUUUCACGACGAGAUGUUGAACCUGAAGAAUGUUGGACACCAUUUUGAUGGAUAAAACAUUUUCAUAGGAGAAAUGAUGUGAGUAAGCUUUCAGAUCAUUAUGAUAAUCUUCUCCUCCUAUAGUCAUUUCUCUCGUUACUCUUACAAAGUCCUAUGUAGUAUCUUCAGUUCAAGGUCUAUUUCUUUCAUAUAAAACUAUAUUAUGUAAUGUUCAUAACCUGAAUGUUAGUAGUAAUACCUUGUGAUUAGAAAUGGUUAAGAGAUGACAUAGUGACUUACUCAACUCUCAUAAUCUUAUUUCUGAAGUCAAGAACUCUAGCUUGCAAAGUUGCAAAAUUUGUUUAGCUCAUACUGUACCUUUUACUGUAGUUGUAGAUGAUCUUGGUUUCUUACUAAAAACUUUGUUGAAAUUUCAUAUUACUUCCUUACAUGCAGAGAGUUCAGGGGAAAAGUUGUUUAGCUUUUCAAGCCUUGCCGUGUGCAUGGACAAAUUUCUUAUUCACUAUCUGUUUUUGUGUGUAGUAAGAAUCUGAAUUUUAUGGGUGAAUUUGUACGGGUAAACAGAGAAGUUCAUAUCCUAUGUUGAGACUAAUGUCUGCUAAAUUCGGACACAAUGUCAAAUUCUCAAGCUCAUCGUUAAAGCAACAGAGAGAAUUUGAUUGACUUUUUUUCAUUAUUCUGUUUUGUAGACGAGGUUGAAGCUACCUUAUCAGAAUCUCUUCCCAAGUGAAUCUUGGUCAUCUGCCUAUUUAUACAUAUAUUAAACUCUUUUCAUUGUUUUCUUGAUGUGUGUGUGUGUGUUGUAUAAUCGAUCAUACUUUAUGAUUUAUGUUGAAGUAUCAUGACAGAAGAACAAAAAUAUUUAUAUCAACAUUGGUUAUAUGUUUGCUGGUUUGACUGAUGAUGAUAUGUCGAUCUCAACUCUCAUUUUGCUGGAUCAUUCCUAAUUCAUAGCUUAUGGUUGAGGCAGGUUAUAGGAGUGCUGCGGCGAAGCUCCCGUUCCUUGAGCCGGAAGUUAAAAAGGCGAAAAGCUACAGAACCCUUUUGGAAGCGGUGUUGCCUAUCUUUAAGAGCGUCGGGGGUGAUAUAACUGGGAGACUCUUGAUGAGAUGUUGGCCUAUCUGGAAUACUUCCCAGUUGCGAGACCAACGGAGCUGAACACCGUCAACAACGCACCUACAACCCAUCUCAAGAGCUUGGACACGAGGGAGAAGGUUGGUGCCUGGAUCAAACAGUGGUGCAUCCAAAACGCAAGCCAUGUAGCUUUUUGUUUCGGGUUCUACAUGGCCAUUGCGAAGAAGGGUGACCAGUUACCCUAAAGACGUCCUGCGCUUUGAGGGAACUCAGAAGACAAUUUGAACUUUUUUUCUUUAGCACUCAUAGAAGAAGAGCAAAGAGACCAAACGGAUAAUAUGAAGUCUUUACCAUCCUUAAGUGAUGUUGGUAGUGUUGUAUUUGCCAUUAUUGGCACAAGAGCUGAUCUUGCUUGGUUUGUGGGAGUGACAUGUUGUCCCAUGAUAUGUUGUCUAUCAGCUUCAGUAUAUGUUGCUAAACCAUUACAAAAGUUUUUCAAUAAUAACUUCGUGUACCAUAUUUGAAAUCAAUGAAGUAAUAUCUUUGAUCUAAUCUCGGAUUCUACGAUAAAGGGAUCUAUCCGCUUCAUCCUCCUACUUGGUCCAAGCUACAAUCUUCUUUACCUGCAAAAAAGGAAUAAAAGGCGAAAUGGAGAUCUUCCACGGCCACUCAUAUCCACCAUAGACAGAACGGUCCGAAAUAGAAUCUCAUUUAUGUAACAACUUGAUUCGAGGAAGCUUGAUGAUGGCCUCCACAUCUGCUUCCAAGCUCGGCCAUAACAAGUAGAGAAGCUCUACUUUUUCUCUCUCUAUCACUUUGUUUUAAGUUCAAAACUCUCUAAAUAAGGAUGCAUUCUUUGUAACAAAGGCUUUUGUUUUUGUUUUUUUAAAAAAUAAAAAUGAGGAAGAAGUUAUCAAACAACAACAACAAAGGCUUUUGUUUGAAUAUAUUUUUACAUUUAUACAAAACAAAAAAAGACAAAGAAAAAGAGUCAAAGAAGAAAGUAUCACAAUCAUGGAAGCAAAGAAAUAAAGAGAAAGAAUUCGAAGAAAUAGAAAUACACUUUUUGCUGAAACAGAAAAAACAGAAGAGAAAAUAAGCAAUUGCAUGACAUGAAAUUUUAAACAUACUAUAUGAUAAGAAAAAACAUAUAAAAUACAGAUUUGUAAAUCAUAAAUAUAUUAAAAACAAUUACUCUGUUAAAAAUUCAUCCACCAAAACAAUCAUCAACUAACCAAACGCUGUCACGACAGGGAAUCUAUAAAUUAUUAUUUUAUAACCGGUUUUUCAAUUAAUUUACAGUUUUAAUUUAUUUUUAAUAGUUUUUAAGUUAAUAACCAUCCUUUAAAAUACACUAUUGGACCCCACAAAAAAAAAUACAUCCUUGGAAGUGGUCUUAGUUUUAUCAUCUAAAAGAUAUGAAUUUGAUUUUGUAAAGGUUACAAUUAUUUUCCGAGAAAUGUUAUCAUAGACAAGUUGGAGGAAGAAGACGAAACGAAUCAGGUAAAUUGAAAUUAAGACAGCUAUUAAGGUAAAAUUAAAAAAUGGGUAGAUUAGAAGUAGUUGUCUUUUCAUAAAACCCAAUAGUACUUGAAAUUGUUAGUAUAAGAAAUAUUCCAAGCUAUAACAUUAUUAUUAUAAGAGACCCUUAUUAAUAAUUUGGUAGCACGAUGACUCCAAAAGGAGUUUAUUGUUUAAAGAAAGACGAAAACAUGGAGAGUUGUUGACGCAGAGAGUUACUUAGAUGCUUCACCCAAGAAGAGUCCUCAUAAAAUCAAAGCAUCUCUCUUCUUCCUAAACGUCGACGAGAGGAGAGUUCUUGGCGCCAUUAAGAUUCAGAAGGUUAGUCAUUUUUUUCCCUUAAUUCUUAGCAUGUGUCUUUGUUUACGGUGAAUUGAGUGAUAAUGGGGACGUGAGGCAUCUCAUAGUUCACAAGUUCUGCCUUAGCUUAACCAUGCCUGACUACUAUUAACUAAAGUUCUUCAACUAUAUAUACCACAUUUCCUUGAACUGCAAGUCUAGUAAGAUUCUGUUAAAUUCCUAACACUAUAGAUUUAUAGUUUUUUCGAUGCCAUUUGUAACUACAUAGCAGUAGCUUCUUUUUGUGUUAUUGCAAUUUCUUAAUCAUUUUUAUAUCGAACUAGCUACAUUGUUUUAGAAAUCGAAGUUUGUUUACCUAGCUUGUUUAUGAUUUGGUCAUUGCUCAAGAUUUACGUUUUGAUGCUAUGUACAAUCAGCACUGUGUACAAUACGUUCUUGUUAAUAGUUUGUGUUGUUGGGUGUUGUGUUCAGAUGGAAGAGAUUGUUUUUGAAACAAAAGAUGCAGUUGAUUGGUCAUAUAGAAGCGAAGGAGUUGUUAAUUUGGUUCUCGCUUACUCUGGAUCAUCUCCCACUUUCGUUAGUCUCAUCUCUUUCUCAAUCCCAAAGAUGAGAUUAUAUAUUAUUUCUAGUUUUUGGGGUUAGGAAGAAGUAUAUAACAUUGAUUGCAAUCUUGUUUGUUUUUCUCUUUUGUGGAAUAUGUGAAGUUGGGAAAGGUGAUGAGGAUAAAAAAAUUACGAAACACUAGGAAUGAAAAUAGAGACCGAAGUGGAAGUUGUCUUACGACCCAGGAAAAGCUUAUUUGGGGAGAGAUUAAGGAUCUUGUAUCUUGCCAAAACAAGGAGAUUGUGGACUAUUUGUUUGUCAAACAUGUCAUGAAACCUUUGUUGGGUCACAAAUAUGUUACUCCUGGAGUAAGUCUCCCUUGUCAUGAUUAACACGUUAUAACGGUUACAAGAAUCUCCAAGUUGCAUUAAUUUGGGAUGUUUUAAAGGUUUUUGACCUUUUAGUUUUGAUGAUUUGGGAAUGUUGUAGAUUUGCCUUCCUGUAGAAAAGGAGUUUCUUGAGUCUGUUAAGAAGAUAGUGACGUCUCAGCGUCAUUCUUGGCGAGCUAAUACACUCAGUGUGGAUACUAACCGCAGUUUCGCGCUUCUCAUGGAUGAUUUGACCAUUUUCUCCCAUGGUAAAUUAAUUUUGUGUAAUCAACUAUUCGUGAAUUAAGCUCUUUCUUUUCACUGUUCUACUUGACUGCAAGUAAAAGUUGAUGUGAGCUUGUAUUUUAUCUCUUGGUUAAUCCAAAUUGAUGAUGAUUUUUGGUUUAAUAACCUCAUGUGCUUUCAGGUCAAGUUGAGGAUCAUAAACCAUGCUUAACUGUUGAAAUAAAGGUGUCCAUGAUCAUUAUCUUGUCCUUUCUUUCUUUUUAGCUCCCAAUUUAUUCUUUUUUUCUUCGCUGAUAUAUUUACUUUGGUGAAGUAGCCCAAAUGUGGAUUUCUUUCAUCUUCAAGUUUCAUAGCGGAAGAAAAUGUUAUCAAGAAGAGUAUAAGUCGCUUCGAAAUGUACCAAGUUCUAAAGCUUAGGGAAAACCAGGUACUUUUUCUCCUACAUCCUUCGAAACCACAAGCAUACUUGGAAGCUAACACAUUAAAGCCAUGUUUUUCAGAUAUCACAAAUCAGUGAAUAUGAUCCCUUAGACCUUUUCUCUGGAUCCAAAGAUAGAAUACACAAAGCAAUAAAAGCGCUCUACUCGACUCCUCAAAACAGUUUACAAGUGUUCUUGAAUGGUUCUCUAGUAUUUGGAGGCUUCCGUGGUGGUAUAUGCAAAACAACCUCAAAGCUUGAAUUAGCUUUUGAGCAUACACUCAAAGAUUUCUUCAAAACCGAAGAUGACUGCGGCCUACGUGCAAAUGCUUUCAUAGAGCUUGUUGCAGAAACUGUUUACGCAUCUGGAGCUUUAGAUCAGCUUCUUGAGGUUCAAAAGCUUGACAAAUAUAACAUCGAGGGAGCGAUUCACGCGUACUAUGACUUAGUUGACCAGCCAUGUAAAGCGUGCCAAGAGUUGGAAAGUAGUAAAUUAUCGAAUCAGUUUGGUUCCAUGCAUUCAUUGCCACAGGAUGAGAAAGUAAAUAUUUUGAAGGAUUUUCUAAUAUCUUCCACUGCUAUAGAUUGUAGUGUAAUGAUAAGUUUUAGACCAAUAGAGACUGGGCUCUCAAGAUCCUCUUCCCACGGUAACAUUCAACUUGAAUCAACAAAGCAAGAAUUUGAGUAUAAGGUACAUGUUUUUUUUCACAAGAAUCUUUGCCUUUGUUAAAUUGUUUUUUCUCAUAAUUAAACUGAGGUCUACAUCGUCGGCAGAUACACUUCAUUGAUCUUGAUAUGAGACCUUUAAAGAGAAUGGAAGCCUAUCACGAAUCAGACAAGAAGAUCACAAAAACAUACCAGGAGAUGCUCAAGAAGAAGAAAGGAGAUCAACCUCGGCGCUUCUAGAACUACAAAGCUAUAAGAAUCAGAUUUCAUAUCUCAUAAGAGUAUUUUAUGUUUCGUAACAAUUUCCUACUGUUUUCACUUGUAUCAAUUCAUAAGACUCAAUCUAAGCAUUAAAGCAUCAUGUUAACAAAUCCAAGGAAAGGGGAAUACAUGUAUGUACUAUGUUUGUUUUUAAAAUGGUUAUUAUAAAAUAAGUUGAGAAAAAAUAUCAUUCUACUGAAUUUGUUUGACUUUAUUAAUUCGUUCUUCUGUUUUUACUGCUGAUGAAAUGUCGAUAUCAACACUUAUUAUACUAGAUCAUUCAUAAUUGAUAUUGUUCCUUGAACAAUUUAUACAUGUUAGACUGAUUAAUUGCAAGAACUUAGAAAUAGACAUGCAUUAUUGCAAAAUGUCAUUUCAUGGAAGCAAAUAUCUAACAAAAGCCAAACAUAACUAAAUUAUGAUUAUCCUUGUAACUGAAACUCCAAUAUCAAAAACUGAUAAAAGACAACCAAGAAACAAGACCGGAAAGAUAAAUAUUUGCGAUAACCAAAACCUAUAAACCAAACUCAUCUCAUGAAGGUCUUAAGCUUGGUCUUCACCCUCAGUGAUAACCUUGGUUGCAGAAACAGCCUUAGUCGACAGGAAAUCAGUGUGCUCUUGGUACGGCGAUCUGGAGAAUCUAGUCUCUUUCCAGAACUCUGGUGUAAGGAACCCAUAUGUCUUCUGUAAGCAAUCGAAUGUAGCCUGUAUCAUAACACCAACAACAUCAACACUAUGGUUAAGAUAAUCAAGCAACAUCAUGCCAAGAGUUCAAAAAAGAAAUCAAGAAUAUCAAUCUAUCACAAAUUAUGAAGCAUCUACAUCCAUCAAAUUAAGUACUUGAGAUGAAAAUCAUCAACAAAAUCUAUGAUCAUCUACAAAUUGCAAUCAGCUACAUUUAGACGCUUCAUUUAUCACCAACUACUAAGCAAAUGUGAACUAAAUCCCUAUUAAGGGAUAAUCAAAUCAUUAAAAGCAGAGCUAAAUCAAAGAACUCUACAGCUAAACAUUAUCAAAUGCUUCAAAAAAGAAGGAUCAAAAUCAAACCUUGACAAAGUUUCCAAGGGUUUUGGUAGAUCCUCUUGAAGAAGUAAAGACAUCAUCAAUACCAGCGAACUGAAGAACCUUCUUAGGAACCCUAGCAGCAACAAUACCAGAACCUCUCGGAGCAGGAACCAUUCUCACAGUAACAGAACCACAUUUACCAGUAACCUUACAAGGCACAGUGUGUGGCUUCCCAAUCUUAUUCCCCCAAUAACCUCUCCUCACCGGAACCACUGAUAGCUUAGCAAGAAUAAUAGCUCCUCUAAUGGCAGUAGCAACUUCCUUAGAACACUUGACACCCAAACCAACAUGACCAUUUCCAUCACCAACAACAACAAAGGCCUUGAAUCUAGUCCUUUGACCAGCUCUGGUUUGUUUCUGAACAGGCAUGAUCUUCAUAACCUCGUCUUUCAACGUAGGACCAACAAGAUGAUCUAUGAUUUGGUACUCCUUUACUGGGAGAGAAUGAAGAUAGAUCUGCUCUAGCUUCGUUAUUUUAUUGUCAGCCACUAGACGACCUAGUUUGGUCACUGGAACCCAUUUCGUUUCUUCCGAGGCACGGCCUCCACGUCUUCCACGGCCUCUUGGACCACGAUCACGGCCACGGCCACCUCCACGUCCACCGCCGAAUCCACGCCCGAAGUCACCACGGUCACCGCCACGCUCUGCGCCGCUUUCUCCUCCUCUUUCCGCCAUUUUCGAUGAAGUAAACCCUAGCGGAUUCACAAGUUUUAGUUUAUAUAGGUGAGCAUAAGAUUAGGGUUUUCGAAAGUCUGAAUUAUGGGCUUGUGGGCCGAAUGUUGAUAUAAUUGUUUUGUUGAGAUACAAACCAAGAAGCCCGGCCCAAUAACAUAACUUAUUCAAUAACACCCAAUAUAGUACGUGAUAUGCAAAUUGAGUGGAAUUGCUUUGCUUAUCUUGUGAUCUUAAGAACUAUGUGCGUAUUGUUUUACUAUUUAGAGACUUUAUGCAAAUUGAGUGCAAUUGGUUUGCUUGUCUUGUGAAACAAAUUCUCAAGACAUUUGUUAGACAUUUAUGCAAACCAUUGUGAACUCAAAGAUCGUAAACAAAUGUAAUUCGUUUGUUGUCAGUAAUAAAUAGGUCAUACAUUUUAAAGCUGAAUCUCAUUGUAUCAUCUCUCAAAUGGCUAGAAUUUUCUUCGGCUUUUUAGUGUCGCAUCAUUCUCUUAUUUAGGCCACUUUCCAAUUGGUUAUGAGGGCGAAUACAACCAAUUUUAACAUCUAACGUGUUUGUGUUUAAAAGAGUAGUGAGAAUUUUUUGAUUAGUGAGUCUCAAAGUUAAUAAUUUGAUGAGUAAAGAUAUAGUAUAGUACAUUAAAAAAUUGAGUAAUGAAUGUAUACAUAAGAGAAUGAGAAUAAAAAGAACAAAAAAACAAUAUUCAGAUGUUCAACAUCAAUAGACUUUGCUCAAAUAUUUGUCGAGUAAAUUGUCGACGAUAACUUGAUAAGCUCUUUCAGAUGGAUGAUAGCUAUCCCAAAAUAUGUAUGCUGAAGAAUUAGAACACGUAAAUGGGUUCAAUGAGUUACACAAAUAGGAUAUCGCAAGCAAUCCUUUACCGCAACAUCCUCUAUCAGCUACCUCAAAACCUGAAACAAAACGAGAUCAUUUGAAUAAAAUAUAGUUUAAAAUAUAUAAUAAAAUUAAAAUAUAAAUAAUUUCUAUGUAGAUAAAUAUGUUAGAUGAACUUACCGUAUUUUUUAGGGUGUUGGAUCAUGUCGAAAAGAGUAUCAUAAACAUUAAUGUAAAGGAUAACACCAUCUAGCUCUUUAUCUAAAGAAUCUAAAGCUGGAGAAAGUCUUGCGUUAAAUUGUUUUGCCAUGUUGUUUAGAGGUUGAUUACAUCCUCUUGUAAAAAAACCUCCAAAAACUGUUCUUUGGAGUGGAACACAACCGACGGGGACUGCACUAAACACUCCUAUUUUCCGAGCUCCAAGCUUAUGUAAUUCCUAAUUAUCAAUUAUCGAUAAGAUAAAGUAUUUAGUGGAUAAAACAAUAUAUUAUUGAUUAGUUUCUGUAUUAUUCUAUAUAUUUACAAUAAAGUACUUACUCUCACGAAAUGGACAGCAGAGUCAGCCAAGAAAUUGGCAUAAGAGGUACGAUCAUAUCGAUGAGUUUGAGCUAAAUAAGUGUGAGCAAGGUCAUUGCUACUAGACACCACAAGAAAGAAACUAUGUUCCAAGAUAUCUUUGGCUUUUUCUUCUCCGAAAUGCCUCUUGAUCUUUGAUAUAUAUUCUUUGAAAUUUAUGAGUUGAUCCCACACCGAUAUUACUGACUAUAAAAAUAAACAUAAAUGUAAGAAAAAAGAAUUACCCAUAAAAAAACUAAGGAUCGUGAUAGAAAAAAAUAAGAUAUAUUGUACCAUAAUUUUUGCUGUCAAUGGAUCAUAACCAGUUCCUCCAGAUGCAAAUGUUACACCUUUAAGAAGAUCCUCUGGCUUCAAAUACGGAUUCAUAUAUGCUGGUAAUGUCUUAGCCAAUCCCAACUUUUCCGCUGAAAUAUUUUUAAACAUAUUUAUCAGAAUAUAGAUAAAUAUAUAUGAUUCAUAAUUUAGAAAAAUGUAAUAACAAUUCAAUUGGUUACCAAUAAGAUCAGAAGGAACUCUUCCAUCAGAAAAUCUUCCAGUAGCGAAGCCUCCAGGAUAAUCUUUUCCAUAUGGAGGAAAGUUACACUUUAGAAGAGUGGGAAGAUUAUUGUUAUUUCCUGUAUCCAUUAUUGAAUCUCCAAAAACUAUUAGUGCUGGGAUUGUUGUGUUUUUUCCUUGCGUCGCUGCAUUAGCUUCCACGAAGAUUAAAACCAAAGCGAACAAUAAUAUUUGAAUCUUCAUUGUCUUCUUUGGUUCGUUUACUUUUAUGGUGGAGAUUGGCUUGUUGUUUUACAAAUUUGAAGACAUGUGUGUAUGCUUAUAUAUCUUGUUUCUGUUUGUUGGGUUUCUAAAAUUAUCUCUGAGCAUGAUAGUUGUUAGGUUUUAUGCUAUCUCUAGUGAUUUAUUGCUUUGAUGAGUUGGAACGACAGCAAAAGAAUUUAUUGUCCUUUCGUAUCUAUGUUUGGAAUUUACACCAAAACAAGUAAUGUAACCUUAGUUUUUUUGGUAAGGUAAUGUAACCAUAGUUUGUUAUAACAUUGAAUACUUUUUUAACUGUGGUUAAAUAUAUAAGUCUUCAGUAUAUAGGACAAUAUUUAAAUUGUGAUUAAUAAAAUUGUCGAGUACUAUUUUAUAUUUAUUAUUUCAAAACAGAUUAAAUUUUAUUAUUCUAUUUUCGUAAAAAAAGAAAAAAGCAACGCAAAUAUCCUAUUUCCAGUAAUUCUUAGUGUUCGUCUCCUCGCUAAAAUCAUCCCUCUAUAGUUACUUGUAAGAUUAGUCAUGAUUCUACUAUUAUGUGCCACAUGUAUAAGAAUUUAUUAAGACCACAUGUUUUUGUUUUUAUUUAUUGUAUAUUACAUAAUUACUUGAUAGGUAAAGCAGUAUGGGUUUACUCUAUCCUCCUACCUAUAGUUUUUGGCUGACAAAAACAUUAAACAUAGGUCACCUAAUGCAUUUGUUUUUCUUUAUAAAAAUUAGUUCUUCGAUAUAUAAUGAUAUGGUUUGACAUUCCAAAGAAAAAAGGAUCAUUUGUUUAUGAAGUUCGGUGUCCAUGUAUACAAUAAAAAUAUAAACUAAAGAAUAAUUAUCUCACUAUUAAUUAUUUAUACCUCAAAAUUAAUUUUAAAUCAUACAUCAAUAUAAGAGAUGCUAUUAUUAUCUCACUAUUUUCAAAUUUUCCAAUAUACAAAAACUUCAUUUCAUGAAUUAAAAAAUUCAGAAAAUAAAUAAUUACUACCUACUAGUUUUUUACUUUUUACUAUAUUACAAUGCAAAGAGUCCCUUGGAGUUGGCAAAGAAGUGUUUCCGGCUGAUAAGUUCCGUUUUUCUAUGACCGGUAAAGAGAAGACCGGUUAACAAAGACGGAGGACCGCUAAAUUUGGUUUGCACCAUUUCCCUUACUUUCAUGUACCCAUCUAGUGUCAUCAACUCCAGAAGCUUUCUACAGCUCUGAGAUUGAAAGUUUAUAUAAUGUUAUCAGAGAGCUUUAAAAGAUUAUGAUCAGUUUCACUAUAUGAGAAAGAUUGUAUAUUACCUGAGGAUUUAGUACGUCCAUUUGGUUUAUGAUUUCCUCCUGUCACAAAAAUGAAAUGUUUGGAUAAGUAUUUUCAUAGAGCCCAAAACUGUGACAGUACGAGCUGAUUAGAGAAGUAUUUUACCUCUGGUAUACCGGGAUUUUGCAUCACGGUACCAAGAACGCGACGAACUAGUCCAUCGAAUACAACUUUAUUUACUGAUCCAUCUGCGUUUAUCCAUGGAAAUAUAGGUUGUGACUUCACAGAAGUUGAUUCCUUCGUUUCGCCUUCGAUGCUCGUUCCAAAAGUAACAGAUGGAGCUUUGGUAGAUUCCUCUUGCAAACCGCUUGUUUCAGCCAUUUCAGGAAUGUUAAGAAUCGUGACCUUGUGAACGCUGUUCUCAGAAACAUGAACUUGCUUGUCUUUUGAAGUACUGUAGUCGCUGGUGACAACAUCGUUUGACCUAUGUUCCUCCAAAGCUUUUUCUACGUAGUUCGCUGGUUGAGACUGUUGACCAUUUUGGGUAGUUCCACCAUCCGCCAAUGUCAAGAAGUACUUUGAUCGGUAGAGCGAAUGGACAAGACGGAAAUUAUCAUAGCCAUUUACCUGAAUAAGAUAGCGUCUCUUGUUAACAGUUACAUGUCAAAAAGAUGUAACAUAAACAGAGUUCAUAGUCCAAGAAUUUAAGAGUACUAGUAAGAUAAGAGAUGGUAAGACAUACCUUCAAAGCUACUCCAAAUGUUUGAAGUACUUCUACAAUGCAGUCACAAGUUUCUUGGCCUGCCCAUGAAUAAACCGAGGUUAAAACUUAAAAUACAAAACUGAAGGAAGUCAUGAGCACAUGCUAACGUGUUGAAGAGGUUAGCCGGAUGCUUACUUGGAAUAUUAAUAAGAAAGUGGACUUCUUCAAUGCUUAGACCUUGGUCACCAGCCUUGUGAAGGGCAUUGGAAACCGCUUCGAAAACCUCGGGACUGAUUAAACUCUGUUGCUCCUCUGCAGAACCGGACAUAAUACAACUAGCAACACUAGCCAUUGCUUGCCAAGGAGAAUCAACUAAACUACCUGGUAUCACAGUAGCAUCCUUAGAGUCCAAAAGUUCUUUCAUAUCAUCAGAACCACAGCCAUUAUUUGUUUCUCCCGACAUGAAAUGAAGUUCACCGGACCAAGAGUCAUCAUCCUUAAACAACUCUAUUGCGUUAGCUAUUGGUAUAGUUACACGAUGAACAGAUACUGCUAAACCAGGGAAACCCUUUUCCUUUCGGACGUUGAUUUCACCUUCACCUAGUAACUUAAAUUUCUUAGCACUAUCAAGUUCAGAUUCUUCUACAUCCUCAGCUCUACGUUUUAAACCUCUUCGAUGUUCAGGCUCCCCAACACCUUCUUCAGGCAAAGAUACAGAUAAAGAGAGUUCACCAGAAGCAACCAAUGAAAAGAAAUUCAAAACAUCACCACAUUGCAAAUCUGAAGUAAGAGUGACUCCCUCAUCCAUAAGUUCUCUUUCGUGUUCGACAAGCCAACUUGAGAACUUGGCAGCUCUUUUCCCAGUAUUAACCGGGAAUGGUGACUUUGAAAUACUAUGCAAGAAAUUCUGAGAUAACACAAAUGGUUGUCCAUCACUUCCACCAACCAAGAACUUUUUGUCUCGGAGGUAGCUAUAGGCGGUGAAGAGGUCACCCUCGGAAUAUCGUCGUAAGGUAUCUUCCAGUAAAUUUGGCAUACUAGGUGCAGUAGGCAUGCUUAGAAACACAAGCUUUAACAGUUCAACAGCGGUAGACACUACCAGAGAUUCCUGCACUUGUAUACAACCAUUGUCCUUUUCAUCUACAUGCUUAAAAAUCUGAUGAAGACGCGAUGUAUCUUUAACUUGAUCAAUAGAAACAGUUUGAAUGUCCUCUGUGUGAAUUUCAGGUCUCGUCCGUUGAGAGGGCAUCAGUUUACCCAUCUUCUUGAGCUCAAGAACAUUAUUAAAGGCUUGGCUUAUACUCUUUUCAUUGAAGUCAUCCCAUUUUCCUUCAUCUUUACGAUGCUCAACAGAAUCUGAUUCCGUCUUUAGAUGUUUUGCAUAACGCUCACUGAGUAGAUUGCAAAGCCUCAUGACCGCCUUACGAACUUUAUCAUUCCUCAUCAUUGUUUGAAUCCGUCUCUUGCAAGGUAAAGGAGGUAAUUAUGUGUAAUUAUGAAUACAUUGUGAAUCUGAAUCUGAUUUUAAUAUAUUUUCACUAUCAUGAAUACAUAUAAUAACAAUAUAUGAUAUUUUGAUACAAAUAUGUGUAAUUAUGUUACUUGUGUGGUUUAAAAUUUGCCUAACUCGAUUAUGAAUAAACCAAUUUCUUGUUUUAUGUACUUCAACAAAUUGUGAUAAGCUCAUGUUAAAGUUUGGAUUGACAUCAACUCAACAAAAUCUCAAAAGUAUUCGCAUGAUUGAAUGUCAUUUAAGUCAACACUUUUGAAUCUUCUAGCAUUGCAUAUAUCAAUAUUAGAGAAAUGAUCGUCUUUUAAUUCAAUUAAGAGUAGGAAUGAUGAUACAUUUAAUUUACUUAUUUAAUUUUAUUAAUUUUUUAAUUUAAAAAAUAUUGAAUGACAAAUGUGAUUUUCUUGUGUGAUGAUGUGUCAUUCAUAUGGAGAGAGUUGACCAACUUUCAUAUAUAUGAUUUAUAUAGUGAACGUGGAUGAGGUAAAAUCAAAGAGUAUUGAUGUUAUCAUCUUAUUUGCGAGACAAGUAUAGUUGUUUCAAUGUGAGGUCGGUUAUAGUUACAAUAUCCUUCUCACAUUGUCACGUAAGUGUGAUCAUUUUGUUUCACUUACACUAGCUUUCUCACAUUGUUACAUGAGAAAUUAUCAUUUCAGGUUCAUAAGACAUUCAACAGUUGUGUAGUAAAUCAAACUUAAUGAUAAACUUCCUCAACAGUUUUACCAUAGACUCUUUAGUUUUACAUGUUCACAAGAUAUGAUUUUCUAAAUUUAUUUUGGUUACCCGUUAUAUGAUGAUAUAGUUGAAACACGCAAGAUUAUAAUAUUUUUCUUUCACUUGGAAUGAAUAUUAAUUCUUCACGUAAACUAUAGAGAUCACAUGUUCUGAGAUUAGUAUAAAUGUGAAACCUUUACUAUAUCAAGAUUGAUUUUUUUUAUAAAAAAAUUUACUCUUUCGUUUGGUUAAAGUUAUGGCGCUACAUAAUCUACGUAACUUGUGUUUUGUUUUGGUAUUUUAAGAGAUAACAUUUGUUCGUUUGGAUGUCAUGGAAGAUUUUAGUUUUGUUUUAUCUUUUGUUUUGUAGAGUUCUUCUCGCUGAUCAUAUGAACUAACAGUUCUCCGUUUUAACAAUGAAGCUGUGAGAAACAGAGAAAGAGGGAAACAUAGAAGUACAAGGAAUGUCAAUUUUCCAACAAAUUUUAUUACCAUUGCGAGUGGUAAAUUUUCUGUCUAUUACCAUUUUCAAAGUUUCAAGGGUUGAAUUGAAUUCAUACGAUGUUUAGUUAACGUAUACAAGUGGCCCGUCCAAAAUAUUUGGAGGUCAAAGCAACAAUUUGUUUUUUUUUGGGUUAUUAUAAAACUUUGGGGACUUUUGAAACUAAAUAAUUUUGAGGCCUAUUUUCAAAUAUUUUUGCUGUAAAAAAAUUGGAAGUCACAUACCAUUGCUUCAUAUUGCUGUCCUCAAUGACGGCCCUGUGUAUACAUCAAAUAAUCAUCAACUUUUCGUGAGAAUCUUUAAUAGUAGUUUAAUUUAUCUUUCUUGAUAAUUUUGAUAUACACAUUUUUUUGUUAGCUCAGUUUUUUGUUGCAUGCAUGUUACCAUGUUUAUAUACACGCAUAUGAGGUAUGAUAUUCAACUAUUCAAAUCAAAGCUUAUACGUAUCAGAAGUUUAUUUGUUCUUCAUACAAUAUUGUUAUUUCAAGCUCCGAUCCAAUGAUUAUUUAUCUCUCUAAGUUUUUAUUGUCUAGGAAGUGUCCUCAGUCCUAAUAAGUUUUUGGAACCAAUGAUAAGUGUCUACUAUUUAUUUGACGUUUUCAUUUUAUAAAAUCUAUUUUGUUCAUCCCAACUUAUGUCUUUAGUUUUUGUUUUAUUUGUAGGGUUUGAUUCAAAUUUUUGGGACGAACAUACUCUACACUUAGAUGUAAUCCAAGAUCAUGGCAGUGAUAUUAGGAAACUUUUUGGAGAAGGAUGUGAUAAUACCAAAGCGAGAAGUAAUGAAAUGGAAAUCAAAGAGACAAAAUUGUUCGAGGAUAUGUGCAACAUUACAACGAUUUAGUAACACUUACAAACUUAAAGUUUAGUUUUAUUUCUCUGAUUUGAUUUGAAAAGGCUUUAGAGAUUGAUCAGAAUUCUUCAAAAGAAUUGUGGAAAAUAGCUCCUUAGUAUUUACCAAAAGUUUUGUCCCACAAAAAAAAAAACUCAUCAAAAUUCAUGUCUUUCUCAUAUAAAAAACUUAAAGUUGGUUGUAAAAAACUCAAACAUAAGUUCUUAGUUAAGACCAAAAAAGUUUUCUUAGAUCUCACAAAAAAGACCAAAAGUAAUUCAACUGAUGAAUUUAGAUAAAGUAAUUUGUCUUCUAAACCCAAGGCAAGUGUUCAUAAUUGACAUUAGGAUGAUUUUACGUCAUAUUUUGCUUAUUAUGCUUCAUAUGUUUAAUGGCUUACUUAUUUUAUAAUGAAGCAAGUAGAGAUUAACCAGACUAAACCAAGACUACAGUUCGAUAGAAAUGACAUGGAUGACGUGGUAUAGAGCCUAUAAUGAGCAUCGAGUUUAUACAAUGAUAUGCAUUCAUGUGUUAAUAUUUUCUUCAAGUUGUUAUAUUGUAACAUUUUAAUUUACAUUGAAUCAAAGAAAGACAAAACCCAUAAACACUAAUACGUAUCAAAUCAUUACAAAACAGGCAUAAUUAAUGGGAUUGGCAAAAUUAAUGGAAUUAUACAAUCAAUACCAAAUCAGAGGCGUUUUGAAAUUGAACUAAUCACCCACACCGUUAAGAAAACAACGUUGUUUUGUAAGCCUACAAUUGUUUAUAAGAAUUUUGAGAUUAUUCAUAGUUUAAGGUUAUUCAUAGAGAUUUUAGUCAUAUUUUAUUAUAUUAAACUACAAUUUUGAGAUGAAUUUUUUUCUAGCAUAAUUGUAAUUCAUUUAACUAAUUACAAAAACAAAUUUUCAAUUUUGACAUCAUAUUAUGUUUUAGAUUACACGGUAAUAGUUCACUACUACAAUAAUUUUCCAAUUUUACAAGAAUUUUUUCCAUCUUUAUUUUUUAUACCAUAAUUUUAACUCCUUCAAUUAAGUAUAUUAAUUAAUUAAAAACUAGAUAUAUUUAUAUAUUUUAUUAUAUUAAAUUUACCAACGCGUCGCGGGGCUAACAUGAGGACGUAAACUCUUUGUAUUAUAUUAUCUUGAUGUAAAUAAUACCUUUUUUUGAUUUGUCAAUACUCUGUUUCUCCUUCUAGAAACUUUCCUUUAUACUGUUUGUGUAUUUUGUUGACCACAAAAACUCGAGGACUAAGACUAAGUAAGAUAGGAAAUGGGUGGAUACAAAGAAGUUGUCCUUUUAAGAAAUCCAUCACGAGAAGUUGGAAAGUCUGAACCAGAGACUUUCGUGUGCUUAUCCAAAGACGACGAGAGGAGUCCCAAGAAGUCUAGCGGUAUCAAUCAAAUCUCUUCUUACUUGAGGAGAUUCCUUGGAACCAUCAAGAGGUUAGUCCAUUUUCUUAGCAAAUUUCUUUGUUUACGGUGAAAGAUAUCUCUAUUUGUUUCUCUAAAUCUUUCGAGUAGUAACAGUUAAACUUUGUCCAUAUCCUGGAUAGACCUAGGUGUGUCAAGACUCAAGAGACAAAGCUUGAAUAUAUUUUUCUAACUGAUUAGAUAUCACUAUUAAUGAUAAUGCAUGAUCAUCAAUAUUUCGUAGCUUGAUUCAUAUUUUCAUAUAUACUACUUACUUAAGCAGGAAGCAUUAUGGCUGGGGAACUUAUUUCGUUUGGUAUACAAAACCUGUGGAACCUACUGAGUCAAGAAUGCGAGCUAUUUCAGGGAGUCGAAGAUCAAGUAACUGAACUAAAAAGGGAUCUAAACAUGUUAAGCUCUUUUCUGAAAGAUGCAAAUGCAAAGAAACAUACAAGUGCGGUGGUGAAAAACUGUGUUGAAGAGAUCAAGGAAAUUAUCUAUGAUGGAGAGGAUACAAUCGAAACAUUUGUUCUUGAGCAAAACCUGGGAAAAACAAGUGGUAUCAAGAAGAGUAUCAGAAGACUUGCUUGCAUUAUUCCAGAUCGGAGGAGAUAUGCAUUAGGUAUCGGAGGCUUAAGUAAUAGGAUCUCCAAGGUGAUCCGAGAUAUGCAGAGUUUUGGAGUGCAACAAGCUAUCGUUGAUGGUGGGUAUAAGCAACCUCAAGGUGAUAAACAAAGGGAGAUGCGACAAAAAUUUUCUAAGGACGACGACAGCGAUUUUGUGGGGUUGGAGGCAAAUGUUAAGAAAUUGGUUGGAUAUUUGGUGGACGAAGCAAACGUUCAAGUGGUUUCCAUAACCGGUAUGGGUGGUCUAGGUAAAACCACACUUGCUAAACAGGUUUUUAACCAUGAGGAUGUUAAACAUCAGUUUGAUGGGCUCUCAUGGGUGUGUGUUUCACAAGAUUUUACCCGAAUGAAUGUAUGGCAAAAGAUCUUGAGGGACCUCAAACCCAAAGAGGAAGAAAAGAAAAUCAUGGAGAUGACACAAGAUACACUCCAAGGUGAACUAAUUCGAUUGUUGGAAACGUCUAAGUCAUUAAUUGUCCUCGAUGACAUAUGGGAAAAAGAAGAUUGGGAACUAAUCAAGCCAAUAUUUCCACCGACCAAAGGUUACCUCUUAUGGUACACACACUAGCCACUGGUCUUACUCAAUAAGCUAGCUAACUCUUUGUGUUUGUUUUUGGCAGGUUGGAAAGUGUUGCUUACUUCUCGAAAUGAGAGUGUCGCCAUGCGUAGAAAUACAUCAUAUAUCAACUUUAAACCAGAAUGCCUAACCACUGAAGACAGUUGGACACUUUUUCAGAGGAUAGCACUUCCUAUGAAAGAUGCAGCUGGUACUUUUAAUGCAUCUCUGGCUUGUUAGUAUCUUGGUUUUGUAGUCUACUUGUAAAACGAUUUUGACAUAUUGAUAACGUUGUGCAGAAUUUAAGAUUGAUGAGGAAAAGGAAGAGUUGGGUAAGCUAAUGAUCAAACACUGUGGAGGGUUACCAUUGGCCAUCAGAGUGUUAGGAGGUAUGUUAGCUGAAAAAUACACAUCGCAUGAUUGGAGAAGAUUAUCUGAGAAUAUUGGAUCUCAUCUCGUGGGAGGAAGAACUAACUUUAAUGACGACAACAACAAUACAUGUAACAAUGUAUUGUCUCUAAGCUUUGAAGAAUUGCCAAGUUAUUUGAAGCAUUGUUUCCUCUACUUGGCCCAUUUUCCAGAAGAUUAUGAGAUAAAGGUAGAGAACUUGUCAUAUUACUGGGCUGCAGAAGGAAUAUUCCAACCUAGGCAUUACGAUGGAGAGACCAUUCGAGAUGUUGGAGAUGUCUACAUAGAGGAGCUGGUGAGGAGGAAUAUGGUCAUUUCCGAAAGAGAUGUAAAGACUUCGAGAUUUGAAACUUGUCAUUUGCAUGACAUGAUGAGAGAAGUUUGUUUGUUAAAAGCUAAAGAAGAAAACUUCCUACAAAUUACCAGUAGCCGCCCUUCAACUGCAAACUUGCAGUCUACUGUCACAUCUCGCAGGUUUGUCUACCAAUAUCCUACUACUUUACAUGUUGAGAAAGAUAUAAACAAUCCAAAACUUCGAGCUCUCGUGGUUGUUACCUUGGGAAGUUGGAACCUGGCAGGUUCAAGCUUUACAAGGUUAGAACUUCUGAGGGUGUUAGAUCUUAUUGAAGUGAAGAUUAAAGGAGGGAAGUUAGCUUCUUGCAUUGGAAAGCUCAUCCACUUAAGAUACUUGAGCUUAGAGUAUGCAGAGGUAACUCAUAUACCUUACUCACUAGGAAAUCUGAAGUUGUUGAUCUAUCUGAAUUUAGCUUCAUUCGGAAGAUCUACAUUUGUGCCCAAUGUCUUGAUGGGGAUGCAAGAACUGAGAUACCUUGCGUUACCAUCUGAUAUGGGGAGGAAGACAAAACUAGAAUUGAGUAAUCUAGUAAAAUUGGAGACUUUAGAGAAUUUCUCAACAGAGAAUAGCAGCUUGGAGGAUCUUUGUGGUAUGGUCAGGCUGAGCACGCUCAACAUCAAAUUAAUUGAGGAGACGAGUCUAGAAACUCUAGCUGCAUCUAUAGGUGGAUUGAAAUACCUGGAAAAACUUGAAAUAUAUGAUCACGGUUCUGAGAUGAGGACGAAGGAAGCGGGAAUCGUAUUUGAUUUCGUUCAUCUCAAAAGGCUAUGGUUGAAACUGUAUAUGCCUAGGCUUUCUACAGAACAACACUUCCCUUCUCACCUUACAACCUUAUAUCUAGAAAGUUGUCGGUUGGAAGAGGAUCCCAUGCCGAUUCUAGAGAAGUUGCUACAGUUGAAAGAGCUUGAAUUAGGGUUUGAAUCUUUCAGUGGAAAGAAAAUGGUUUGCUCGAGCGGUGGGUUUCCUCAAUUGCAAAGGCUUUCAUUACUGAAACUAGAGGAAUGGGAAGAUUGGAAAGUAGAAGAAAGCUCCAUGCCACUUCUUCGUACUCUCGAUAUUCAGGUAUGUCGAAAAUUAAAGCAGCUUCCUGAUGAACACCUUCCUUCUCACCUUACAUCCAUAUCUCUAUUUUUUUGUUGUUUGGAGAAAGAUCCAUUGCCGACUCUAGGGAGAUUGGUUUACUUGAAAGAGCUUCAAUUAGGGUUUAGAACUUUCAGUGGGAGGAUAAUGGUUUGCUCGGGCGGUGGGUUUCCUCAAUUGCAGAAGCUUUCAAUAUAUCGGCUAGAGGAAUGGGAAGAGUGGAUAGUAGAACAAGGCUCUAUGCCCUUUCUUCAUACUCUCUAUAUCGAUGAUUGUCCAAAGUUAAAGAAGCUUCCGGAUGGGCUGCAAUUUAUCUAUUCAUUAAAGAAUUUGAAGAUAUCAGAAAGAUGGAAGGAGAGAUUGUCGGAAGGAGGAGAAGAAUAUUACAAAGUCCAACACAUUCCUUCUGUUGAAUUCUACCAUAGGGUGUUGCAUAUCUUUAGGAGCGUCGGAGGUGAUAUAACUGGGAGACUCUUGAUGAGAUGAGAUGUUGGCCUAUCUGGAAUUCUUCCCAGUUGGGAGACCAACGGAGAUUAACACCGUCAACAACGCACCUACGACCCAUCUCAAGAGCUUGGACACGAGGGAGAAGGUUGUUGCCUGGAUCAAACAGUGGUGCAUCCAAAACGCAAGCCAUGUAGAUUUUUGUUUCGGGUUCUACAUGGCCAUGGCGAAGAAGGGUGACCAGUUGGAAGGUGCAUACACCCUAAAGACGUCCUACGCUUUGAGGGAACUCAGAAGACACAAUUUGAACUUUUUUCUUUAGCACUCAUAGAAGAAGAGCAAAGAGACCAAACGGAUAAUAUGAAGUCUUUACCAUCCUUAAGUGAUGUUGGUAGUGUUGUAUUUGCCAUUAUUGGCACAAGAGCUGAUCUUGCUUGGUUUGUGGGAGUGACAUGUCGUCCCAUGAUAUGUUGUCUAUCAGCUUCAGUAUAUGUUGCUUAUGUAACAGUUUUUCUAUAAUAACUUUGUGUACCAUAUUUGAAAUCAAUGAAGUAAUAUCUUUGAUAAAAGGCGAAAUGGAGAUCUUCCACGGCCACUCAUAUCCACCAUAGACAGAACGGUCAGAAAUAGAAUCUCAUUUAUGUAACAACUUGAUUCGAGGAAGCUUGAUGAUGGCCUCCACAUCUGCUUCCAAGCUCGGCCAUAACAAGUAGAGAAGCUCUGCUUUUUCUCUCUCUGUCACUCUGUUUUAAGUUCAAAACUCUCUAAAUAAGGAUGCAUUCUUUGGAACAAAGGCUUUUGUAUUUGUUUUUUUGAAAAAUAAAAAGGAGGAAGAAGUUAUCAAACAACAACAACAAAGGCUUUUGUUUGAAUAUAUUUUACAUUUAUGUACAAAAAGAAAGACAAAGAAAAAAAGUCAAAGAAGAAAGUAUCACAAUCAUGGAAGCAAAGAAAUAAAGAAAAAGAAUUCGAAGAAACAGAAAUACACUUUUUGCUGAAACAGAAAAACAGAAGAGAAAAUAAUCAAUUGCAUGACAUGAAAUUUUAAACAUACUAUAUGAUAAGAAAAAACAUAUAAAAUACAGAUUUGUAAAUCAUAAAUAUAUUAAAAGCAAUUACUCUGUUAAAAAUUCACCAACCAAAAAAAUCAUCAACUAACCAAACGCUGUCACGACCGGGAAUCUUUAAAUUAUUAUUUCAGAACCGGUUUUUCAAUUAAUUUACAGUUUAAAUUUAUUUUUAAUAGUUUUUAAUUAAGUUAAUAGCCCUCUUUAAAAUACACUAUUGGACCCCACAAAAAAAAUACAUCCUUGGAAGUGGUCUUAGUUUUAUCAUCUAAAAGAUAUGAAUUUGAUUUUGUAAAGGUUACAAUUAUUUCCAAGAAAUGUAUCAUAGACAAGUUGGAGGAAGAAGACGAAACGAAUCAGGUAAAUUGAAAUUAAGAAAGCUAUUAAGGUAAAAUUAAAAAAUGGGUAGAUUAGAAGUAGUUGUCUUUUCAUAAAACCCAAUAGUACUUGAAAUUGUUAGUAUAAGAAAUAUUCCAAGCUAUAACAUUAUUAUUAUAAGAGACCCUUAUUAAUAAUUUGGUAGCACGAUGACUCCAAAAGGAGUUUAUUGUUUAAAGAAAGACGAAAACAUGGAGAGUUGUUGACGCAGAGAGUUACUUAGAUGCUUCACCCAAGAAGAGUCCUCAUAAUCAUAAAAUCAAAGCAUCUCUCUUCUUCCUAAACGUCGACGAUCGAGAGGAGAGUUCUUGGCGCCAUCAAGAUUCAAAAGGUUAGUCAUUUUAUUUUCUUCCCUUAAUUCUUAGCAUGUGUCUUUGUUUACGGUGAAUUGAGUGAUAAUGGGGACGUGAGGCAUCUCAUAGUUCACAAGUUCCGCCUUAGCUUAACCAAGCCUGACUACUCUUAACUAAAGUUCUUCAACUAUACCAUAUUUCCUUGAACACAUCCAAGUCUAGUAAGUUUCUGUUAAAUUCCUAACACUAUAGAUUUAUAGUUCUUCGAUGCCAUUUGUAACUACAUAGCAGUAGGCAGUAGCUUCUUUUUGAGUUAUUGCAAUUUCUUAAUCAUUUUUAUAUUGGCUAGUUACAUUGUUUUAGAAAUCGAAGUUUGUUUACCUACCUUGUUUACGAUUUGGUCAUUGCUCAAGAUUUACGUUUUGAUGCUAUGUACAAUCAGCACUGUGUACAAUACGUUCUAAUUGUUAAUAUUUUGUGUUGUUGGGUGUUGUGUUCAGAUGGAGGAGAUUGUUUUUGAAACAAAAGAUGCACUUGAUUGGUCAUAUAGAAGCGAAGGAGUUGUGAAUUUGGUUCUCGCUUACUCUGGAUCCUCUCCCACUUUCGUUAGUCUCAUCUCUUUUUCUUAUUUUUAGAUAUUAAAUCUUUGCUUUUGUUGAAUUGUUUCAUUUUCGGUAGGUACAUUUCAUUGAUCUUGAUAUGAGACCUUUGGAGAGAAUGGAAGCCUAUUACGAAUCAGACAAGAAGAUCAUGAAAACGUACCUGGAGAUGCUGAAGAAGAAAGGGGAUCGAUCAACCUAGAUUCUUCUAGAACUAUGCAACCUCUAACAGUUUCCUACAAUUUUCACUUGUAUCAAUUCAUAAGAUUCCCUUUACUUGAUAUGUUUCCUAGACUAAAAUAAAUAUAAAUGUUAAUUAUUUAUGUACAGUUAAAUGUAAAGUUCUCAGUAUCCCUCACUUAAGAAUCUAGUUGUUGCAUUAGAUUAAUACAUGGGAUGUGGCUGCAAAGGGGUAUACAGUAGAAAACCAAGUUUCAAAGUUAGCCUGAUGGUUAAAUAUCACUUGAAAAUCAGGGAUGUGGAGGAUGGGAAACAUCAGAGAAGGGCUGGUGCAAGUUUCUAAAGUUGAUACAGUGAGCAAUUUCCAAAAUGUAUCGGAGAUGCUCAAGUCUACCAAGAACUGAAAAAAGUAAGCGUGAAUCCACGAACUAAAAUCUUAAACUCAAAGCCAAGGUGGACACUCAUAGAGAGUUUGUCUAUCGGUUUCAAUAUAUUUUGCUUACGUAAUAGUUUGCAUUCCAAAAGUUUCUAUAAUAACUUUGUACACCUGAAUCGAUAUAAUUCGAUUUUUAUAAUCAACAUUAAUAAAAACAAAUUUCCUGAAAUACAUAAUUUUGAGUUUGGAGAAAUUUUGAUAAUUUUUGAUGACCGUGUCUCUAUAUCACAACCUUUUCUUUUUACAUUUUCAGGAGAACAAUUUCUAUGUUUUAUUCAAAACUAGUUGACAUCUUAUAUAAUAAGAGAAGGUUUUUUCCUAACUUUUCCUAACAUUGCUACAUUUGGCACUUUAUUUUGGUGACACUUGUCUUCUUCCAUUUAUUACUUUGUUUCUUCCAAUUUAUAUCUUCUUUUUAGUAUUUAAUUCCAAAAAAUCAUAUUUAUCCAUUUCGGAUAUAUUUUUAAAUUGAUUUUUGUCUUCUAAUAUUUUUAGUUAAAAAUAAUAUCUUCUUAUUAUCACAUAUGAAUUAGUAAAAUUUUAAAUCCUCACAACAUUAGUACACUUGGCCUAUUUUAUAAUUAAUCUUUUUCCUAAUUUUUCUAUCUUACAUAUUAUUUAAAGAUUCAUAUAAAAGACAUCUCUAAUUUUUUCUAAUUUCUCUCUUGAAAUUUGUCUCAACUUUUCUUUCAAAUUAAACGUAUUCUUAUAUUCAUAAUUCUAACUUAUUUGCUAAUCAAACAAUUGCAAUUUAAUUGGACAUUAAGUGUAUUGAUUGCAUUAUUCUUCAUUGUCCGUUACUUUAGAAGGAGUAAUUGUUUUCAUUUUCCCAUUUACUUCCACCACUAUUAAUAUGGUACAUAGUAUGAGACUUGAGUUGAGAGUGGAAAAUCUUAUUAUUUAUAAUAUUCAUUUGUAUAAAUUAUAAUUUGUAUUUCGAUAAGUAUAAGGUAUGUAAGAAAGUUUCUUUCUCCGGAUUCAGUUAUUUCAAUAUUUUAGAGAUUGGAAGGUUUUCUGCUUAUGGGUUUGUUUUCUUGGUGACUUUUCUAAGGUUCUCUAACAUCAAAAUGUUAAUGCCAACUUUUUCGAUUCAAAAUUUAUUGGAAAUAAGAAUCUUUUUGACCAGUUUGUUUGGUAGCUAAAGAUAGAUGGAAGUUCUUGAGCACAAAGCUUAUAAAAGAAUGACAUUAUAUUUCUAGGGUAGUUUUAUCAAAAAAAAAAAUCUUUGCAUUUGCAUCAAACCUAUGGUUAAACUUUGGUUAGGCUUUCUACACCCAAAAGCGUCACUCUUUUAGUUUCCUUGCGAGCGAAAAAAUGGAAGGAAGCUCAUGGGAAACCGGAACCAAAUUCGCUGGAACAAAACAACAUCAAAAUAAAUCUUUCAUCUCCAUCAAACAUUGUCUGCUCCAUCAAUCAUUUCUGUAAUUUUUAUAAUUUAUUGAGAUUUUGAAUAGUAAAGUUAUGAUGUAAUCUUUUAUUAUUAUUAUUACUAAAUGAAUACCCACGCUAUGCGUGGGUUUGUUUUGAAAAUAGUAUUUAUAUUGAUUGUUUUUUUUUGCUAAUUUAUGUUUAUUCUUUGUUUAUUAUUGUAUUGUUAAUAAAAUUAGAUCCAUAAAUAUGUAAUUACAAUUUUUAUGGUUAGAUUCAUUUGUAACUCAAAAUAUCAAUUUACAUAUUUUCAUGUAAAAAGCUGAUUAUUUAUAAGAUUUUAAUAUAUUUUCACUAUCAUGAAUACAUAUAAUAACAAUAUAUGAUAUUUUGAUACAAAUAUGUGUAAUUAUGUUACUUGUGUGGUUUAAAAUUUGCCUAACUCGAUUAUGAAUAAACCAAUUUCUUGUUUUAUGUACUUCAACAAAUUGUGAUAAGCUCAUGUUAAAGUUUGGAUUGACAUCAACUCAACAAAAUCUCAAAAGUAUUCGCAUGAUUGAAUGUCAUUUAAGUCAACACUUUUGAAUCUUCUAGCAUUGCAUAUAUCAAUAUUAGAGAAAUGAUCGUCUUUUAAUUCAAUUAAGAGUAGGAAUGAUGAUACAUUUAAUUUACUUAUUUAAUUUUAUUAAUUUUUUAAUUUAAAAAAUAUUGAAUGACAAAUGUGAUUUUCUUGUGUGAUGAUGUGUCAUUCAUAUGGAGAGAGUUGACCAACUUUCAUAUAUAUGAUUUAUAUAGUGAACGUGGAUGAGGUAAAAUCAAAGAGUAUUGAUGUUAUCAUCUUAUUUGCGAGACAAGUAUAGUUGUUUCAAUGUGAGGUCGGUUAUAGUUACAAUAUCCUUCUCACAUUGUCACGUAAGUGUGAUCAUUUUGUUUCACUUACACUAGCUUUCUCACAUUGUUACAUGAGAAAUUAUCAUUUCAGGUUCAUAAGACAUUCAACAGUUGUGUAGUAAAUCAAACUUAAUGAUAAACUUCCUCAACAGUUUUACCAUAGACUCUUUAGUUUUACAUGUUCACAAGAUAUGAUUUUCUAAAUUUAUUUUGGUUACCCGUUAUAUGAUGAUAUAGUUGAAACACGCAAGAUUAUAAUAUUUUUCUUUCACUUGGAAUGAAUAUUAAUUCUUCACGUAAACUAUAGAGAUCACAUGUUCUGAGAUUAGUAUAAAUGUGAAACCUUUACUAUAUCAAGAUUGAUUUUUUUUAUAAAAAAAUUUACUCUUUCGUUUGGUUAAAGUUAUGGCGCUACAUAAUCUACGUAACUUGUGUUUUGUUUUGGUAUUUUAAGAGAUAACAUUUGUUCGUUUGGAUGUCAUGGAAGAUUUUAGUUUUGUUUUAUCUUUUGUUUUGUAGAGUUCUUCUCGCUGAUCAUAUGAACUAACAGUUCUCCGUUUUAACAAUGAAGCUGUGAGAAACAGAGAAAGAGGGAAACAUAGAAGUACAAGGAAUGUCAAUUUUCCAACAAAUUUUAUUACCAUUGCGAGUGGUAAAUUUUCUGUCUAUUACCAUUUUCAAAGUUUCAAGGGUUGAAUUGAAUUCAUACGAUGUUUAGUUAACGUAUACAAGUGGCCCGUCCAAAAUAUUUGGAGGUCAAAGCAACAAUUUGUUUUUUUUUGGGUUAUUAUAAAACUUUGGGGACUUUUGAAACUAAAUAAUUUUGAGGCCUAUUUUCAAAUAUUUUUGCUGUAAAAAAAUUGGAAGUCACAUACCAUUGCUUCAUAUUGCUGUCCUCAAUGACGGCCCUGUGUAUACAUCAAAUAAUCAUCAACUUUUCGUGAGAAUCUUUAAUAGUAGUUUAAUUUAUCUUUCUUGAUAAUUUUGAUAUACACAUUUUUUUGUUAGCUCAGUUUUUUGUUGCAUGCAUGUUACCAUGUUUAUAUACACGCAUAUGAGGUAUGAUAUUCAACUAUUCAAAUCAAAGCUUAUACGUAUCAGAAGUUUAUUUGUUCUUCAUACAAUAUUGUUAUUUCAAGCUCCGAUCCAAUGAUUAUUUAUCUCUCUAAGUUUUUAUUGUCUAGGAAGUGUCCUCAGUCUAAGUUUUUGGAACCAAUGAUAAGUGUCUACUAUUUAUUUGACGUUUUCAUUUUAUAAAAUCUAUUUUGUUCAUCCCAACUUAUGUCUUUAGUUUUUGUUUUAUUUGUAGGGUUUGAUUCAAAUUUUUGGGACGAACAUACUCUACACUUAGAUGUAAUCCAAGAUCAUGGCAGUGAUAUUAGGAAACUUUUUGGAGAAGGAUGUGAUAAUACCAAAGCGAGAAGUAAUGAAAUGGAAAUCAAAGAGACAAAAUUGUUCGAGGAUAUGUGCAACAUUACAACGAUUUAGUAACACUUACAAACUUAAAGUUUAGUUUUAUUUCUCUGAUUUGAUUUGAAAAGGCUUUAGAGAUUGAUCAGAAUUCUUCAAAAGAAUUGUGGAAAAUAGCUCCUUAGUAUUUACCAAAAGUUUUGUCCCACAAAAAAAAAAAAACUCAUCAAAAUUCAUGUCUUUCUCAUAUAAAAAACUUAAAGUUGGUUGUAAAAAACUCAAACAUAAGUUCUUAGUUAAGACCAAAAAAGUUUUCUUAGAUCUCACAAAAAAGACCAAAAGUAAUUCAACUGAUGAAUUUAGAUAAAGUAAUUUGUCUUCUAAACCCAAGGCAUGUGUUCAUAAUUGACAUUAGGAUGAUUUUACGUCAUAUUUUGCUUAUUAUGCUUCAUAUGUUUAAUGGCUUACUUAUUUUAUAAUGAAGCAAGUAGAGAUUAACCAGACUAAACCAAGACUACAGUUCGAUAGAAAUGACAUGGAUGACGUGGUAUAGAGCCUAUAAUGAGCAUCGAGCUUAUACAAUGAUAUGCAUUCAUGUGUUAAUAUUUUCUUCAAGUUGUUAUAUUGUAACAUUUUAAUUUACAUUGAAUCAAAGAAAGACAAAACCCAUAAACACUAAUACGUAUCAAAUCAUUACAAAACAGGCAUAAUUAAUGGGAUUGGCAAAAUUAAUGGAAUUAUACAAUCAAUACCAAAUCAGAGGCGUUUUGAAAUUGAACUAAUCACCCACACCGUUAAGAAAACAACGUUGUUUUGUAAGCCUACAAUUAUUUAUAAGAAUUUUGAGAUUAUUCAUAGUUUAAGGUUAUUCAUGGAGAUUUUAGUCAUAUUUUAUUAUAUUAAACUACAAUUUUGAGAUGAAAUUUUUUUUAGCAUAAUUGUAAUUCAUUUAACUAAUUACAAAAUCAAAUUUUCAAUUUUGACAUCAUAUUAUGUUUUAGAUUACACGGUAAUAGUUCACUACUACAAUAAUUUUCCAAUUUUACAAGAAUUUUUUCCAUCUUUAUUUUUUAUACCAUAAUUUUAACUCCUUCAAUUAAGUAUAUUAAUUAAUUAAAAACUAGAUAUAUUUAUAUAUUUUAUUAUAUUAAAUUUACCCACGCGUCGGGGCUAACAUGAGGACGUAAACUCUUUGUAUUAUAUUAUCUUGAUGUAAAUAAUACCUUUUUUUUAUUUGUCAAUACUCUGUUUCUCCUUCUAGAAACUUUCCUUUAUACUGUUUGUGUAUUUUGUUGACCACAAAAACUCGAGGACUAAGACUAAGUAAGAUAGGAAAUGGGUGGAUACAAAGAAGUUGUCCUUUUAAGAAAUCCAUCACGAGGAGUUGGAAAGUCUGAACCAGAGACUUUCGUGUGCUUAUCCAAAGACGACGAGAGGAGUCCCAAGAAGUCUAGCGGUAUCAAUCAAAUCUCUUCUUACUAGAGGAGAUUCCUUGGAACCAUCAAGAGGUUAGUCCAUUUUCUUAGCAAAUUUCUUUGUUUACGGUGAAAGAUAUCUCUAUUUGUUUCUCUAAAUCUUUCGAGUAGUAACAGUUAAACUUUGUCCAUAUCCUGGAUAGACCUAGGUGUGUCAAGACUCAAGAGACAAAGCUUGAAUAUAUUUUUCUAACUGAUUAGAUAUCACUAUUAAUGAUAAUGCAUGAUCAUCAAUAUUUCGUAGCUUGAUUCAUAUUUUCAUAUAUACUACUUACUUAAGCAGGAAGCAUUAUGGCUGGGGAACUUAUUUCGUUUGGUAUACAAAACCUGUGGAACCUACUGAGUCAAGAAUGCGAGCUAUUUCAGGGAGUCGAAGAUCAAGUAACUGAACUAAAAAGGGAUCUAAACUUGUUAAGCUCUUUUCUGAAAGAUGCAGAUGCAAAGAAACAUACAAGUGCGGUGGUGAAAAACUGUGUUGAAGAGAUCAAGGAAAUUAUCUAUGAUGGAGAGGAUACAAUCGAAACAUUUGUUCUUGAGCAAAACCUGGGAAAAACAAGUGGUAUCAAGAAGAGUAUCAGAAGACUUGCUUGCAUUAUUCCAGAUCGAAGGAGAUAUGCAUUAGGUAUCGGAGGCUUAAGUAAUAGGAUCUCCAAGGUGAUCCGAGAUAUGCAGAGUUUUGGAGUGCAACAAGCUAUCGUUGAUGGUGGGUAUAAGCAACCUCAAGGUGAUAAACAAAGGGAGAUGCGACCAAGAUUUUCUAAGGACGACGAUAGCGAUUUUGUGGGGUUGGAAGCAAAUGUUAAGAAAUUGGUUGGAUAUUUGGUGGACGAAGCAAACGUUCAAGUGGUUUCCAUAACCGGGAUGGGUGGUCUAGGUAAAACCACACUUGCUAAACAGGUUUUUAACCAUGAGGAUGUUAAACAUCAGUUUGAUGGGCUCUCAUGGGUGUGUGUUUCACAAGAUUUUACCCGAAUGAAUGUAUGGCAAAAGAUCUUGAGGGACCUCAAACCCAAAGAGGAAGAAAAGAAAAUCAUGGAGAUGACACAAGAUACACUCCAAGGUGAACUAAUUCGAUUGUUGGAAACGUCUAAGUCAUUAAUUGUCCUCGAUGACAUAUGGGAAAAAGAAGAUUGGGAACUAAUCAAGCCAAUAUUUCCACCGACCAAAGGUUACCUCUUAUGGUACACACACUAGCCAGUGGUCAUACUCAAUAAACUAGCUAACUCUUUGUGUUUGUUUUUGACAGGUUGGAAAGUGUUGCUUACUUCUCGAAACGAGAGUGUCGCCAUGCGUAGAAAUACAUCAUAUAUCAACUUUAAACCAGAAUGCCUAACCACUGAAGACAGUUGGACACUUUUUCAGAGGAUAGCCCUUCCUAUGAAAGAUGCAGCUGGUACUUUUAAUGCAUCUCUAUCUUGUUAGUAUCUUGGUUUUGUAGUCUACUUGUAAAACGAUUUUGACAUAUUGAUAACGUUGUGCAGAAUUUAAGAUUGAUGAGGAAAAGGAAGAGUUGGGUAAGCUAAUGAUCAAACACUGUGGAGGGUUACCAUUGGCCAUCAGAGUGUUAGGAGGUAUGUUAGCUGAAAAAUACACAUCGCAUGAUUGGAGAAGAUUAUCUGAGAAUAUUGGAUCUCAUCUCGUGGGAGGAAGAACUAACUUUAAUGACGACAACAACAAUACAUGUAACUAUGUAUUGUCUCUAAGCUUUGAAGAAUUGCCAAGUUAUUUGAAGCAUUGUUUCCUCUACUUGGCCCAUUUUCCAGAUGAUUAUGAGAUAAACGUAAAGAAUUUGUCAUAUUACUGGGCUGCAGAAGGAAUAUUCCAACCUAGGCAUUACGAUGGAGAAAUCAUUCGAGAUGUUGGAGAUGUCUACAUAGAGGAGCUGGUGAGGAGGAAUAUGGUCAUUUCCGAAAGAGAUGUAAAGACUUCGAGAUUUGAAACUUGUCAUUUGCAUGACAUGAUGAGA
rnacentral:lncRNA from 1 species